rnacentral:rRNA from 1 species
AGUCGGACGGGAUCCGCUGGUAGCCUGCUACCGGUUGGUGAGAGUGGCGCACGGGUGCGUAACGCGUGAGCAACCUACCCAUAUCAGGGGGAUAGCCCGAAGAAAUUCGGAUUAACACCGCAUGACACAGAUUUACCGCAUGGUUUAUUUGUCAAAUAUUCAUAGGAUAUGGAUGGGCUCGCGUGACAUUAGCUAGUUGGUGGGGUAACGGCCCACCAAGGCGACGAUGUCUAGGGGCUCUGAGAGGAGAAUCCCCCACACUGGUACUGAGACACGGACCGGACUCCUACGGGAGGCAGCAGUAAGGAAUAUUGGUCAAUGGGGGCAACCCUGAACCAGCCAUGCCGCGUGCAGGAUGACUGCCCUAUGGGUUGUAAACUGCUUUUGUUAGGGAAUAAACCCCACUACGUGUAGUGGGCUGAAUGUACCUAAAGAAUAAGGAUCGGCUAACUCCGUGCCAGCAGCCGCGGUGAUACGGAGGAUCCGAGCGUUAUCCGGAUUUAUUGGGUUUAAAGGGUGCGUAGGCGGCACUUUAAGUCAGGGGUGAAAGACGGCAGCUCAACUGUCGCAGUGCCCUUGAUACUGAAGUGCUUGAAUGCGGUUGAAGACGGCGGAAUGAGACAAGUAGCGGUGAAAUGCAUAGAUAUGUCUCAGAACACCGAUUGCGAAGGCAGCUGUCUAAGCCGUUAUUGACGCUGAUGCACGAAAGCGUGGGGAUCGAACAGGAUUAGAUACCCUGGUAGUCCACGCCCUAAACGAUGAUGACUCGAUG